rnacentral:rRNA from 1 species
AGGACGAACGCUGGCGGCGUGCCUAACACAUGCAAGUCGAACGAGGUCCAACCGGUGGCAACACUGGUGAAGACCUAGUGGCGAACGGGUGAGUAUCACGUGAGCAACCUGCCCCGAAGACUGGGAUAACACCGGGAAACCGGUGCUAAUACCGGAUACCCCCACCGGAUCGCAUGGUCUGGUGAGGAAAUGAAUUUUGCUUUGGGAGGGACUCGCGGCCUAUCAGCUUGUUGGUGGUGUAACGGACCACCAAGGCUUCGACGGGUAGCUGGUCUGAGAGGACGAUCAGCCACACUGGGACUGAGACACGGCCCAGACUCCUACGGAGGCAGCAGUGGGGAAUCUUGCGCAAUGGGCGAAAGCCUGACGCAGCAACGCCGCGUGAGGGACGAAGGCCUUCUGGGUUGUAAACCUCUUUCAGCAGGGACGAUGAUGACGGUACCUGCAGAAGAAGCCCGGCCAACUACGUGCCAGCAGCCGCGGU